UGACGAGUGGCGGACGGGUGAGUAAUGCUUGGGAACUUGCCUUUGCGAGGGGGAUAACAGUUGGAAACGACUGCUAAUACCGCAUAAUGUCUUCGGACCAAACGGGGCUUCGGCUCCGGCGCAAAGAGAGGCCCAAGUGAGAUUAGCUAGUUGGUAAGGUAACGGCUUACCAAGGCGACGAUCUCUAGCUGUUCUGAGAGGAAGAUCAGCCACACUGGGACUGAGACACGGCCCAGACUCCUACGGGAGGCAGCAGUGGGGAAUAUUGCACAAUGGGGGAAACCCUGAUGCAGCCAUGCCGCGUGUGUGAAGAAGGCCUUCGGGUUGUAAAGCACUUUCAGUUGUGAGGAAAAGUUAGUAGUUAAUACCUGCUAGCCGUGACGUUAACAACAGAAGAAGCACCGGCUAACUCCGUGCCAGCAGCCGCGGUAAUACGGAGGGUGCGAGCGUUAAUCGGAAUUACUGGGCGUAAAGCGCACGCAGGCGGUUUGUUAAGCUAGAUGUGAAAGCCCCGGGCUCAACCUGGGAUGGUCAUUUAGAACUGGCAGACUAGAGUCUUGGAGAGGGGAGUGGAAUUCNNGGUGUAGCGGUGAAAUGCGUAGAUAUCUGGAGGAACAUCAGUGGCGAAGGCGACUCCCUGGCCAAAGACUGACGCUCAUGUGCGAAAGUGUGGGUAGCGAACAGGAUUAGA
rnacentral:rRNA from 1 species